CAGUGCUUUGAGAAAGGGUUCACUUUUGGCCAAAUCGAGCCUGAAGACAGUAGGAAAAUACUGUUUUCUGCUGCCUUCUGUCCAGUCCACAUAAAGCACUUUCACCCUAUUUUAUCCAGUCUAAAUAACUCCAUAAUUUACAAAUAAUAACUUACAAAAUUAUGAAACAACACUGAGCAUAAAAACGUCAAACUAAUUAUUUAUUUAUUUGAAGUGUUUAAUAUGUGAGUGUUUAGGUUAUUGUAUCAAGCCUUCAACUUGGGGAUUUUUUUUUUUUUUUUUUUUUUGUCUCAAGUAAGACUGUAUAACAUUCACGUUACUUACGUAGAAAGUGCGACAGCGCACCGCAUUAAAACACAGACAUUAGCAGUUUUCAUAACCGCGGGCCAAAUUCAAACACGAAACUAAAAUUAAAACAUCUUUGAGAGCAAGGGGGGGCCCUGGUGUUUCGGGAGCCCUACGCAGCUUGUUUACUUUGCGUAUAGGGAGGAUCGGCUCUGAUCAUUACAAAUUAAUGUCGUUCUGCUUGCUUUCUUAGGUUAUUUAGGAUGAAACAGUAGCUAUUAAGAUACAUUUUAAACUCUUUCAAAGCCCAUUGCAAGGGAUGUGCCAGUAGUGUGCACUUAUGCAACGUAAUAAUCAAUGACGUACAUCUGAGUAAACGAGACGUGGGGAAUUUAGAGAUAAAAGUCUCUGAAGAGCAAAACUGGGCGUGUCUGAAUUUGUGGGUGUUUUUAAACCGCACUUUGCCCCACCCCUAAACCUACCGUCACUAUAUAGACUAACACACAAAAACGGUCCGAUUUGGUAACUCCCAUUACACUUGGGAACUUAGCCUGUGAAGGGCAUAAGCGAACAGAAACGCAGACGCAACUGUGCGCGAAAUGGAGCGGAACGCGGAAAAUGAGUUGCUGUGUGUGUUGCUCCGUUGAAUUAUGAGGCAACUGAAGGAGAGAAUGUUACUAUCUCCUUCAAAACUGCUGAACUGGAGAGAGCCGAUCAAGUGAAGAUAACUCUGACCAGAGGAAGUCAGAAAAAACUGAUUGCGCAGCACUGUCGCUGUGUCCAUCGUGGAGACUGUAGUGUUGUGGAAACAUCGGGAGUCUUACUGAGAGCUGAAGAAGGAACCGUAACUCUUCUGCGUGUCAGCUCCAAUAACUCAGGCCUCUAUGAAGUAAUAAUCAUUGGAAGUAAUGUGUCCAGGAUAAAUGCCACACUUGUUGUCAACGGUGAGUAUGUUACCACAAUAUCUGUUUAUCUAUAUCAGUAUUAUGAGAAAAAAAUCCUGUAACGAUUGUGUUCAUAAAGUCAUUUAAAGUCAAUUAGGAAUCUGCAAGUUAAGAAAAGUUGCCCAUGCAAGUUUAGCUUGUGUUCAGUUCAGUUUAGAGGGUCAUGUGCUGAUCAGCAGAAAGCUGCUUGACUUUAAAGUGGAUUCUGUGUGAACUGUGCUUCAAACAUCACUGCACUACUGAUACACUACUGAUACACACACAUUUUUUUUUUUUUUUUUUUUUUUGUCUCAAGUAAGACUGUAUAACAUUCACGUUACUUACGUAGAAAGUGCGACAGCGCACCGCAUUAAAACACAGACAUUAGCAGUUUUCAUAACCGCGGGCCAAAUUCAAACACGAAACUAAAAUUAAAACAUCUUUGAGAGCAAGGGGGGGCCCUGGUGUUUCGGGAGCCCUACGCAGCUUGUUUACUUUGCGUAUAGGGAGGAUCGGCUCUGAUCAUUACAAAUUAAUGUCGUUCUACUUGCUUUCUUAGGUUAUUUAGGAUGAAACAGUAGCUAUUAAGAUACAUUUUAAACUCUUUCAAAGCCCAUUGCAAGGGAUGUGCCAGUAGUGUGCACUUAUGCAACGUAAUAAUCAAUGACGUAGCUACAUCUGAGUAAACGAGACGUGGGGAAUUUAGAGAUAAAAGUCUCUGAAGAGCAAAACUGGGCGUGUCUGAAUUUGUGGGUGUUUUUAAACCGCACUUUGCCCCACCCCUAAACCUACCGUCACUAUAUAACACAUAAAAACGGUCCGAUUUGGUAACUCCCAUUACACUUGGGAACUUAGCCUGUGAAGGGCAUAAGCGGACAGAAACGCAGACGCUGCUGUGCGCGAAAUGGAGCGGAACGCGGAAAAUGAGGUAGGCUCUAUCUCAAGUCGAACAUAUUAUCUGAUUUUCUACUCUUGUGUAGGCCUGCUUGGUUGAAUAUUUAAUUUGGUUUUAAUCUUUUUUUUAAAAAAAAAACGAAGACGACACGAAGGGUAUUUUAUGCCCCCACAUGUGGAAUAUUAAGGCUGUUAAUCCAUUGUCUAGCCCAAACCUGAAAAGAAAAUUCAAGCCUGUUUAACGGUUUAAAACGACAAAUAGCAAAAUUCACGCAAAGGCUUCGUGCUUUAACCGAAUAUGCUGCUAGAACAUAGCCUACAUCUAACUUCCCUAUGGUUUAAAACAGAAAGUCUUUCUACGGCUCUGGGUUUAAUGAUGACGUGAGCUAUUCAAAAUGCGUCUGAAAAACCAAUCAGGUUGCAACAGCUCACUUGUGCCUCCCACGAAACGCCAUAUUGUACUGUUCUAGGCUAGGUCUGCUUGUUUUCUUCGUUUAUGCUGGCACCCUCGAGGUCUCAAGUAAGUAUAGAAUUUUGCCGUCCGAGAAAACUGGAUCUGUUAGCUACUAAAAGUAGGCUAUACAGAAUAAAUAUUUAGUACAUCAGUAAUAAAAAUAUGAGCUAUAGGUUAAUAAUAAAAAUUACGUAAUUAAAAUAUAUGAUCUGUGUGUGCUUUCAUUAAAGAAAAGUAAAGUGGCAUUGUAAACAAACUAGCAUUUAAAAGGGAUUAAAUCCUGAAAAUUAAUAGCCUACAUUUUUGGUAGUGCGGAUCAGAGCUGAUGCUGGUAAAAAAAAAAAAAAAAAAUGUUUCAGUGACAUCAGAGAAAAAAUGGAUAGUCUAUGUGUUUUGUGACAUUUUUGUCGUCUAAGCCUAAGGACCUCUGAGUUACUUUUUUGCACAAUGGUUAAGAAACAGUACAACACAAGCUCACACCAACAGUCUAAAUGAAGUAGGCUAAAUCAUUUUUCUGAAUAUAAUUUUUAUGAAAUUGGCCGCUGGAAUCUCACAAACAGCCAUGUCUGAAACAGUAAAAGUCUUUACGAGCAUGCACUGAUCAGUACAAAAACCCCACAGUCAUAAUCGAAACAAAGGCGCUUCACUUCUCAAGAGUGGACCCAUAGCUGUAUGAAACAUUAUACAGCUCGCACGCGCUAUGAAUACGUGGUUGGAAUACGCGGAAUUAGAGUGCAUUACGUUGUACAUGGGAAUGGAAAGAAAUGAAAAAAUGUUGUCCGCUAGGAUCAGAUUGGAACAGGUUUAAACUCUGAAAGCACAGUAGCGUGUAGCAAUUGCGGGACGUUAGAAAUGAGCAUGUAUAAAGCACUUUCACGUGACACAGGUUUAGAUGGUAGAGCAUUGCAGCUUAUUAUCAAUAGGGGAUGCAUUAUCUGGCAGGGUGCAGGAUUCGGCACAACAUUGGUUUCGUAACAGUUUUAUGAUUUGUGCAAAUCAUCAUAGUUUUAGGAGUAUAGGUUACAAAACACGCUAGAUGGCGACAGCGCUCCCAGUGAACGGCUAUUAAAUAGAAGAAGAACCUUUCUGCUGUUUC
ensembl:lncRNA